rnacentral:rRNA from 1 species
AUGGGUUAUCAUCAGAUUCGUAUUCGUGAGCAAGAUAUUCCCAAGACGGCGUUCAGAACAAGCUUUGGUUCAUAUGAAUACACCGUCAUGUCUUUUGGCCUCGCCAACGCUCCUCCGACGUUCUCUCGCAUGAUGAACUUCAUCUUCAACCCCUACACCAAUGAAUUCGUUUUGGUCUAUCUCGACGACAUUCUGGUUUUCUCGAAGAACAAGGAAGAUCAUGCCAAGCACUUGCGUUUGGUUCUUGACAAGCUCAGAGAACAUCAGUUCUACGCCAAGUUCUCCAAGUGUGAAUUUUGGCUCGAUGAGGUUCUUUAUCUUGGUCAUAUCAUCUCUGCCAAGGGCAUUUCCGUGAAUCCUGAGAAGGUGUCCGCAAUUGUGAAUUGGGAACCUCCUCAGAACGUAAAGCAACUCCGCAGUUUAAUCGGUCUCGCAAGCUAUUGCAGAAGAUUCGUUGAAAACUUUUCUAAGAUCGCCAAGCCUCUCUCAAAUCUUCUUCAGAAGCACGUCAAGUACGUUUGGUCUCCGGAGUGUGAUAUUGCUUUCAACUCUUUGAAAGAUAAAUUAGUCACUGCUCCAGUUCUGACUCCGCCUGAUGAAACCAAGCCGUACGAGGUCUUUUGUGAUGCCUCUCUCCAAGGUCUCGGUGCUGUACUGAUGCAAGAGAAGAAAGUUGUUGCUUAUACCUCUCGCCAGUUGAAACCUAAUGAGAAGAACUACCCCACUCAUGAUCUCGAGUUGGCGGCAGUUGUGCAUGCUUUGUUGACUUGGAGACAUCUUCUAUUAGGAAGGAAAGUGGAUAUUUUCACUGAUCACAAGAGUCUCAAGUACAUCUUCACUCAGCCUAAUCUCAACCUCAGGCAGACUCGAUGGGUCGAAAUGAUUCAAGAGUACAAUCCGAGUAUCGAGUAUACUCCAGGCAAGGCUAAUGUGAUUGCUGACGCUUUGAGCAGAAAAGCAUAUUGCAAUAGUCUGAUUCUCAAGCCUUAUCAACCCGAGCUUUGUGAAGCUUUCCGCAAACUUAAUCUGCAAGUUGUUCCUCAAGGUUUCCUCGCCAACCUUCAAGUCUCUCCUACCUUAGAAGACCAGAUUCGCCAAGCCCAACUUCUUGAUGCUAUGGUGAAGAAGGUGAAGAUUGGUAUUGCAAAGAGUCAGUCCAAGUACAAGUGCUACCGA